AAAAAAUGAACCACACUCACAAAUGAGCUUUCUUGCAGGGCUGGCACUGGGCACAUUGGAUGCUGCGUCUACUCCAGUACUUGUGGCCGCAGAGAUCCCUUCAGCGAGCUGCCUUCUGCUAGGAGCUGUUUUAGUCCAACCUGGACUCUCCCUUCUCACCUCCUAUGUUAAAAUUGUGAACAUGGCCAAGAUAUGGAAGCAUCAGUAGACGAAUGGAGAAAGAAGAUGAAUCUCCAGUGCUGUCUACACUACACCAAACCUACCUGACUGUGCUGGCGGCUGUGGCUUCAGCCCUUUUGCCGCCUACUUGGUAUC